UACGUAGGUGGCAAGCGUUGUCCGGAUUUAUUGGGUUUAAAGGGUGCGUAGGCGGCUUUGUAAGUCAGUGGUGAAAUAUCGCAGCUCAACUGUCAAGGGGCCAUUGAUACUGCAGAGCUUGAGUACAGAUGAGGUAGGCGGAAUUGACGGUGUAGCGGUGAAAUGCUUAGAUAUCGUCAAGAACACCUAUAGCGAAGGCAGCUUACUAGGCUGUAACUGACGCUGAGGCACGAAAGUGUGGGGAUCAAACAGG
rnacentral:rRNA from 1 species